rnacentral:rRNA from 1 species
AGCGCUUGCGCUACGCCCUUAAAAGGGAAGCUAGUUAAUAUUCUAGCACCUAGAUGUAGAUUCUCCGCGGCAACGCAACUAAGAGCGGAGACCUUAGUAGGAGCCCUAAGAAGAGUUCUCUUUUCUUCUUAACAGUCUGUUACCCUAAAAUUAGUUUGUCUAGAGCUAGGGUUUAAUAGCUAGAAGAGUGCUGCACUUUUGUAGCGUUUGGUGCGCUCCUAAUAAGCCUUAAAAAUCUACUUAAAGAAAUAGUUUUUACGCUAGGUUGUACUUAUAACUGCAGCAGGUCUCUAAGGUAAAAAGCCUCUAGUUAAUAGAACAAUAUAGAUAAGGGAAGUUAGCAAAAUAGAUCUAUAACUUUAGGAAAAGGAUUAGCUCUAAGGGUUAGGUACGUUAGGCCUUGGGGAGAAGCCUCUAGCGCAGAAGGGCACUAACCGUAAGGUAGGCGCCUCUCAGCGCUAGGGUGUAGACACCCUUAGCAGGUUUUGGCUGUCUGGCGUACGUUUAACAACUAACUUAGAACUAGUAUAGAUAAGGGGAAUCUAACUAUCUAAUUAAAAUAUAGCAUUGUAAUAGCUAGAAAGUAGUGUUAAUAUAAUAUAAUUUCUGCCUAGUGCUCUAAAUAUUAAAGCGAAGAGAUUUGACUAAGUGCGGGUAAACGGCGGGAGUAACUAUAACUCUCUUAAGGUAGCUAAAUGCCUUAUUAUCUAAUUAGUAACGCGUAUAAAUAGAUUAAUAAGAUUCCUACUAUCCCUAUCUACUAUCUAGCGAAACCACAGCUAAGGGAACAGGCUUAGCUAAAUUAGUGGGGAAAGAAGACCCUAUUAAGCUUGACUCUAGUUUAACAUUAUAAAAAGACAUAGGGGGUGUAGAAUAGGUAGGAGCUUUAGCGCUAGUGAAAUACUACUACCCUUAUCGUUUUUUUACUUAUUUAAUAAAGCGGAGCUAGGCCUUACUACCUAACUUCUAGCGUUUAAGGUCCUUUGUAGGCUAAUCUAGGUUAAAGAUAUUAUUAGGUAGGGAGUUUAGCUAGGGCAGCACAUCUAUUAAACUAUAACGUAGGUGUUCUAAGGGGGACUUAUAGAGAAUAGAAAUCUCUAGUAGAGUAAAAGGGCAAAAGUCCCCUUAAUUUUAAUUUUUAGUGUGAAUACAAACUAUAAAAGUGUGGCCUAUUAAUCCUUUAGUCCCUUGAAAUUUAAGGCUAGAGGUGCUAGAAAAGUUACUACAGGGAUAACUAGCUUGUGGCAGCCAAGCGUUUAUAGCGACGUUGCUUUUUAAUCCUUUAAUGUUAGCUCUUCCUAUUAUACUAAAGCAGAAUUUAGUAAGCGUUAGAUUGUUUACCUACUAAUAGGGAACGUGAGCUAGGUUUAGACUAUUAUAAGAUAGGUUAGUUUUACCCUACUAAUAACCUUGCCCUAAUAGUAAUACCACUUAGUAUAAGAGGAACCGCGGUUUUAGAUAAUUAGUUUUUGCGGCUGUCUAACUAGGUAUUACCGCGAAGCUACUAUCUACUAGAUUAUAGCUAAACGCCUCUAAGUUAGAAUCUAUGCUAGAAUAGGGUGAUUUCCGCCUGCACUAGUUAGAUACAAAUAGGCCUUUGGCCUAGAACCUUACUAGAUUAGCGUUAGCAGCCCUAUUAAAGUUAGAGUUGU